rnacentral:lncRNA from 1 species
CUGCUGGCCAAUCUUUAGACAUUGCGUUGGCUGUACUUGAUCAAGAAAAGGUCCCAUUCCUGAUGCUGAGAAGUGGUAACCUGACAGGUGUCAGAGCAUAUUUUUUUUAGGAAACAAACAGAAAUGCUACUGAAGAAAUACAUGCUGAGCUGUGACUUCAGAAAUGAGUUCUAAAUCUUGAGGAUCAUUUCUUCCCCUUAAAUUUAUAUUUUGAAAGAAAAAUCUACAGAAAAGAUUCAAACACUUUCAGCAGGAACACUACAUAGGUGAUACUAUGUGAUUUUUAUCACAUCUCAUCAAGAGGCAUCAAGAGACACAUGAUGUCAGCUCUUCCCACUCUCGGCGAUGUUAAGUAUGAUCACUUGGUUAAGUGGUGUCCACAGAUUUCUCCACUGUAAAGACCUUUUUAUCCCUGUGUAAUUAAUAUAUAAUCUGUGGAGUGAUACAAUGAGGCAUUGUAUUAUGAUGAAUAAUGUAUUCUCCAAAAAUCUUUCACUUCAUACUUUCAGC